AAACCCAUUGUAGAUGGGGAAGUGUUAUGCAGAUUGACGUCCGAGGUGUUAGAUGAUUGACCUUCAUUUCAUUGACUCGCGGCUUUGGUCCUGAUAUUACUUCCUGUUAUCUUUAAUACUACGUCCACGACUCAUCUACCAGUACUCCAUCAUCGAGGUUAGCGGGCUGCCAAGCUGACCAAACUGGCCCUGAAAGCAGCCGUUGUGAAGAAUAUAACAUCAAAAUAGUCAACAUACCAAAUCAAAACAGCUCACAAAACCAAGAUGGCGACCUCCAAAAUGGCGACCACCACUCGUUCCUGACCGAUGGCACAACAUUAUUGAAACGCUCACCAAACGCCUUCGGGCACCGAGCCGACCG
rnacentral:lncRNA from 1 species